GUGCUCGCUUCAGCACACAUAUACUAAAAUGGGAAGGAUACAGAGAAGAUUAGCAUGGCCCCUGUGCUAGGGUGACACACAAAUUCAUGAAGCAUUCCAAGACUUA
ensembl:snRNA U6 U6 spliceosomal RNA